rnacentral:rRNA from 1 species
UACGUAGGUGGCAAGCGUUGUCCGGAUUUAUUGGGUUUAAAGGGUGCGUAGGCGGCCCUGUAAGUCAGUGGUGAAAUACGGCAGCUCAACUGUCGAGGUGCCAUUGAUACUGCAGGGCUUGAGUACAGACGAGGUAGGCGGAAUUGACGGUGUAGCGGUGAAAUGCUUAGAUAAUCGUCAAGAACACCGAUAGCGAAGGCAGCUUACUAGACUGUAACUGACGCUGAGGCACGAAAGCGUGGGGAUCAAACAGG